rnacentral:rRNA from 1 species
AUACGGAGGAUCCGAGCGUUAUCCGGAUUUAUUGGGUUUAAAGGGUGCGUAGGCGGUUGAAUAAGUUAGAGGUGAAGGCUCGAUGCUCAACAUCGAAAUUGCCUCUGAUACUGUUCGACUAGAGUAUAGUUGCGGAAGGCGGAAUGUGUGGUGUAGCGGUGAAAUGCUUAGAUAUCACACAGAACACCGAUUGCGAAGGCAGCUUUCCAAACUAUCACUGACGCUGAGGCACGAAAGCGUGGGGAGC